GAGCCCGUAGCUCAGUUGGCAGAGCAUCUGACUUUUAAUCAGAGGGUCGAAGGUUCGAAUCCUUCCGGGCUCACCA
rnacentral:tRNA from 1 species